rnacentral:rRNA from 1 species
UGGGGAAUUUUGGACAAUGGGGGAAACCCUGAUGCAGCGACGCCGCGUGAAGGACGAAGUAUUUCGGUACGUAAACUUCUAUCAGCAGGGAAGAAAAUGACGGUACCUGACCAAGAAGCCCCGGCUAACUACGUGCCAGCAGCCGCGGUAAUACGUAGGGGGCAAGCGUUAUCCGGAUUUACUGGGUGUAAAGGGAGCGUAGACGGCCAUGCAAGUCUGAUGUGAAAACCCGGGGCUCAACCCCGGGACUGCAUUGGAAACUGUGCGGCUGGAGUGUCGGAGAGGCAAGUGGAAUUCCUAGUGUAGCGGUGAAAUGCGUAGAUAUUAGGAGGAACACCAGUGGCGAAGGCGGCUUGCUGGACGACGACUGACGUUGAGGCUCGAAAGCGUGGGGAGCAAA